rnacentral:rRNA from 1 species
UCGAGAAUCUUCCCCAAUGGACGAAAGUCUGAGGGAGCGACGCCGCGUGAGGGAUGAAGGCCCUUUGGGUUGUAAACCUCUGUUAGGGGGAAAGAACAGCAGUGGGAGCAAUAUGUCCAUUGCCUGACGUUACCCCCAGAGAAAGCUCCGGCCAACUCCGUGCCAGCAGCCGCGGUAAUACGGGGGGAGCAAGCGUUGUCCGGAAUCAUUGGGCGUAAAGGGCGUGUAGGCGGUUUGGCAA